GCCAGUAUGGUGUAGUGGUUUGGACAUUCGACUGUGACUCUGGAGAGCAGGGUUCGAAUCCCCACUUGGCC